rnacentral:piRNA from 1 species
UGACCUCGUCCUUACUAAGUCCCCACUAAC